rnacentral:rRNA from 1 species
UACGAAGGGGGCUAGCGUUGCUCGGAAUGACUGGGCGUAAAGGGCGUGUAGGCGGUUUGCACAGUUAGAUGUGAAAUCCCCGGGCUUAACCUGGGAGCUGCAUUUAAUACGUGCAGACUAGAGUGUGAGAGAGGGUUGUGGAAUUCCCAGUGUAGAGGUGAAAUUCGUAGAUAUUGGGAAGAACACCGGUGGCGAAGGCGGCAACCUGGCUCAUGACUGACGCUGAGGCGCGAAAGCGUGGGGAGCAAACAGG